UCCCUGGCAGUCCAGUGGUUAGGACUCUGUGCUUCCACUGCAGGGAGCACAGGUUCGAUCCCUGGUCGGGAAA
rnacentral:tRNA from 1 species